rnacentral:rRNA from 1 species
AGUGAACGCUGGCGGUAGGCCUAACACAUGCAAGUCGAACGGCAGCACAGUAAGAGCUUGCUCUUACGGUUGGCGAGUGGCGGACGGGUGAGGAAUACAUCGGAAUCUACUUUUUCGUGGGGGAUAACGUAGGGAAACUUACGCUAAUACCGCAUACGACCUACGGGUGAAAGCAGGGGAUCUUCGGACCUUGCGCGAUUGAAUGAGCCGAUGUCGGAUUAGCUAGUUGGCGGGGUAAAGGCCCACCAAGGCGACGAUCCGUAGCUGGUCUGAGAGGAUGAUCAGCCACACUGGAACUGAGACACGGUCCAGACUCCUACGGGAGGCAGCAGUGGGGAAUAUUGGACAAAGGGCGCAAGCCUGAUCCAGCCAUACCGCGUGGGUGAAGAAGGCCUUCGGGUUGUAAAGCCCUUUUGUUGGGAAAGAAAAGCAGCAGGUUAAUACCCCGCUGUUCUGACGGUACCCAAAGAAUAAGCACCGGCUAACUUCGUG